CCCCGUCCCCCCCUAAGAGUCUACGUAGUUUAUGGACAGGCCCUGUCGAACAACAAGCACGAAAGACCUUGCCGCAACCCUCUGCGAGAUUCGAAGGGACUCGAGAGUGUUCCUGAUACUCGAACUGCGCACAUCACUCGAUCCAUCGUCGGCUUGAUCAGAAUCCGUAUUCGCGCAUAACCUGCCAUAGCUGGUCUUGGCUGUACCUAUGUCGCCAUAUACCAUACAGAUCUCUUGCGCAUGCAAUCUUUACAUUGUUAAUAUUCGGAAUCUGGCAACAUGACUUGUCCACCGUAUCUUUCCGGCUUUGACAAAGAUCGACCGAAGAGUGCUAUAGGCGAUCACUGCAAGUGCUUACAAGCCUUCCUGGAGUUUAUAUAAAAAAAUCCUUUCCAGUUCACAGCGCACGCUGCUGUGUCUUUUCGGUAGUUGAUAACUGAUAGGAAGAGCGCUCGGAUGUUUGACAUAGGUUGGCAGAGUGAUUGCUCCCUCACCAUAUGGGAUUAGAAGUAACGUCCGCACACUAACUGACUUUGCUAAAAAGGGGUAUCAAUUUGUAACCUUUCAAUUAUCACGUAACAAUAACAACUCACUUGGUAUCAAGGAAGCGAUGUUAAUCGUUUGUUUUUUGCAUUACUCGGCUUGUUUUGAAGUGGGCAGGAAUCUCCUUCAGUAAGCGCCUUUCGUCAUAAUGCUUGGCACAUCUUUCAGUAUGUAUAAUGAAAUGUGGAUCCUAUGUUGCUAUAUACAGAAUUCCUCCAUUUGAAGUGUUUUUUUUUCUACGCAGAUUCAUCUAGGUUUCAAAAGUGUCUUAGUACGCUGUUGGAUUGAGUUGUUAAAGACAACUCGUCACUUUCCCCCUACUUUGUAUCUUUUUAUAUACUUUGAGGGGAACUUCUUAAUUUUAACUUUGGAUGUGAUAUUGAUUUAUCACUCGUCCGGUUGGUGGUUGAAAUCAGAAUCAUGUAUUUUUCAAUUUUUAGUUACAUGUAGCCUACUGGAGGUAGCUGGAUGUCAUUUGCUUGUAUUUGUGUAAACGAUCGAUGACGAUCGAUAUUCGAAAGACAGAGAGAGAAGAUCCAGAGAGAGUUACGAUAUGGAGAAGGCGGGUUCAAGGCUAAAGGCGCUUGGUGAUAACUUUAUGCCUUUGGCAUGGGAAAAUGAAAUAUGAGUAUGACACAUUUUUGUUGCGUCAGAAUUACCGAAACGGUUGGUGGUCAUCGUUCUGCAUAUGCGAACAUUGCAUUUGUCGCCUAAGCAGAUCAAUGCUAUGGGAACGGAUAGACUUUCGCGGUAGGUACCACUGGUGUGGUCCUUCUAGAAAAUAUGGUUGCUAUGCGGGACAUGUGGAGCGCAGAUGCUACAACUUUCUCUACAUUCUCUCCUCUACAUAUACAUCUUAUGUAUUGUAACUGCCGACUAGCUCAGUAGGGGAGCCUUCCUGAGACUCCCUGAAACAACACCUCAGGGUCGGCAUGCUUCUCGACCAGUUAUUCGCGGGCAGGGAAUAUUCGCACUGUCGUACAGAAAAAACUCACGUCACUUAACAUUUCUACACAUUUAUUCCGGGACUUUCCGGCCUCUUCUUCUUCUACCACUUUCCUCUUUCCCACAUUCUUAUAGUCUAAUCUAACCUGUUCUUUCACUUCUUCGGGGCCCCGUCUUCUACCUUCCACUACCACACAGCGUACACCUCCAGGUCUUCAACGAUGGCGGCGUGCACGUGCCGGUUCUUCUGCGGCCUUACGGGGUGGCGAAGCAAGUCGAUGGCAGCAUUCGCAGGCCCUUCUGGGUGUCCGGCGGUCGAGUAUGUUGACGGACUCGGUCAGCGGCGGAACUCUGGGUCUUCUCAAUGAAUGGGGGGGGGGGGGCACUUGAACUCCUACAGAACCGUAGUUCUAUCCAAAAACAGCGGGGUUCUGCUGUCCUUCGCUUCACUUCUUUCUGUCUUCCACUUCUCUAUCUUUGCUUCAGAGGUACAGCACUUAAAAACUGUUUUCUCAACCAUUUUGGUUGGUGGUUCUUUUGCGACUCUUUAAGAAUUAUCGAGUCGAGUGUAGAUGGUUCACUGGCCUCCAGUAUUCGGACAGUGACCCAAGGCAUUCUAUUGUCGUUUGUCGUGCCCGUUAGCCCGUUCGUGUGCAUAUCUCCUUCCAUCUUGGUUCAGCAUCUGCCACCCCUUUUAGGCUACCAAAAAGGACUUCGUUUUCCCUCUGGUGGUGGGUUUCGGAAGUAGCGUGGAUGGUGGCGUAGUACGGUAGUCUACUAAACUAUGGACUAGACUAACAGUAACUGACGGAGAAAACUGCACAACACAUACGAACACUACCUGCACUAUUUUAUAUUAAACACGAUAUACAAUCAACACAAAAUCUCAAAAACACUCCACACUGAACUGCGAACACUUACACUCUCCCCCAACUCGGGUAAAAAAUAUUUACAAAGUAAAUAUUUUUUCCACCGAUUACACUAGACUUCCCCGGUUACACGUACCUCUGAACCUACCAACACAAACCACUCAACACCAGAACAAAUUCACUUCAACCGACGGUAGUUCACAAAACACUUGACUCGAAACGUACUAGAUUAAGUCAUACAGAAAUACAUCAAUGAAACACAUUGUAAAGGACCAGUAAGUACGUUUACAGAGUAUCGGGGUCAUAGGUUUUCAUCGUUGUUACCAACUCCUCACAAUUUAGAGAUUAACUCUGUACUGACCGUCAUCGCGAUUGCUCUGGUCUCCAGCGAUCAAAUGCGCAAACAUUGAGCUUGGCAACCUCUUCCAAUACUUACAUUUUGUCCAUACGAUUGUUUAAAAAGCUUUCUUCACAACGAAACAAAUGACAAUGCUCUAUUUACACUACGUAUUUACAUUAUUUACAAGUAUUUACAGAUUAAAAUUACAUUGAGCAAAGCUACGGCAUAGUACGGUAAAAUAGUGCUUUGAAAUGUUUCACCGGUUUGUCGGAGUUGCGAUCGUUCUAGUACUAUCUAUUUCGAAUUCCAUUCGAACAAUAGUCUAUUGGUGUGCGUUUGUAUUGAGAUGAUUUCGAACUGUCAAACUACUAAUUAUUGUGCAAUGUUAUGGUGAUGAAAUAUGAUCAACAUGAGGUAUUUCUGCAAUUACUGCCUCCGCAGCUUCGAGACAAGAUGACGUCACCAAGGCGAAGCAUCCGAAGAGUGGCUCGUACGAGGACUGGAUGGAAUAGAGUCUCUAGAUGCAGUAUUUACAGAGGGAAUCUAGUCGCCCUACAGACGAUCCUUCCUGUAUUGAGUGACCCGGCACUCGUGUGGUCUCACCGUCUCACUUUUGGUGAGUAUAUCAAGCAAUUUGUAUUGCUCCUACCAUCUACCUAGGCUACUAGAUGCACGCAAUCCAACCACAUUCACCAACACCUUUCUACCGCAAUCCCUGAGAAAGAAGAAGUGUUGACUUCUCAGUUCAUCGUAGUGUAGUCCGCUGUAAGUGUAAGCGAUGAAUUUUGUGAUCUAGUACCACCUAUCUAUGCUUCCCUGAGCACCUUUCUACUCUUUUACUCUAAACAGAGUCUGAAAAACAUUUGGCCGUAGUGCUCGAAUUCAAAUUCGCAACACUAGGACUAUUACCACACAAAAACAAAUAACCAGUCAAAAGCUGAGUUUUGGCUGGGAGAACAACAUUGUAGAAAACUCUAGGAAUUCUUACCUAAAAGAAUUAGAUUUUCUAAAUGGUUCGGUAAUAAAAACUGUCUCCGACAUUCAAACGUUAGCUUGUAUGUGGAAACCAGACUCCUCUCUCGUGUGAAACUUUUCACUAGGCAUGUUUUUCUCUACUAUUUCUUCUUUACAUCCUCUUUCGUUCUUUUUCCUCCUACUCUUGUAAACUCUCAUUUAUUUCCAUUCAUGAAAUGUUUCAUUGAACUAAUCUAAACUUUUCU